rnacentral:rRNA from 1 species
UACGUAGGGUGCGAGCGUUGUCCGGAAUUAUUGGGCGUAAAGGGCUCGUAGGCGGUUUGUCGCGUCGGGAGUGAAAACUCAGGGCUUAACCCUGAGCCUGCUUCCGAUACGGGCAGACUAAAGGUAUGCAGGGGAGAACGGAAUUCCUGGUGUAGCGGUGAAAUGCGCAGAUAUCAGGAGGAACACCGGUGGCGAAGGCGGGUCUCUGGGCCGAUACUGACGCUGAGGAGCGAAAGCGUGGGGAGCGAACAGG